rnacentral:rRNA from 1 species
AGAACGAACGCUGGCGGCAUGCCUAACACAUGCAAGUCGAACGUGAUCCGGGGCUUGCUCCGGUGAAAGUGGCGGACGGGUGAGUAACGCGUGGGAACCUGCCCAGUGGUCGGGGAUAACUGCGGGAAACUGCAGCUAAUACCCGGUAAGCCCUAUGGGGGAAAGAUUUAUCGCCAUUGGAGGGGCCCGCGUCGGAUUAGGUAGUUGGUGGGGUAAAGGCCUACCAAGCCUUCGAUCCGUAGCUGGUCUGAGAGGAUGAUCAGCCACACUGGGACUGAGAUACGGCCCAGACUCCUACGGGAGGCAGCAGUGGGGAAUAUUGGACAAUGGGCGCAAGCCUGAUCCAGCAAUGCCGCGUGAGUGAAGAAGGCCUUAGGGUUGUAAAGCUCGUUUCGGCGGGGACGAUGAUGACGGUACCCGCAGAAGAAGCCCCGGCUAACUCCGCGCCAGCAGCCGC